rnacentral:rRNA from 1 species
UACGUAGGGGGCAAGCGUUGUCCGGAUUUAUUGGGCGUAAAGAGCGUGUAGGCGGUUCGGUAGGUCCGUUGUGAAAACUCGAGGCUCAACCUCGAGACGCCGAUGGAAACCAUCUGGCUAGAGUCCGGAAGAGGAGUGUGGAAUUCCCGGUGUAGCGGUGAAAUGCGCAGAUAUCAGGAGGAACACCGGUGGCGAAGGCGGGUCUCUGGGCAGUAACUGACGCUGAGGAGCGAAAGCGUGGGGAGCAAACAGG